rnacentral:rRNA from 1 species
AACGAACGCUGGCGGCAGGCCUAACACAUGCAAGUCGAGCGAAGCCUUCGGGCUUAGCGGCGGACGGGUGAGUAACGCGUGGGAACGUGCCCUUUGGUACGGAAUAGCCCCGGGAAACUGGGAGUAAUACCGUAUGUGGUCGAGAGACGAAAGAUUUAUCGCCAAAGGAUCGGCCCGCGUUGGAUUAGGUAGUUGGUGGGGUAAUGGCCUACCAAGCCGACGAUCCAUAGCUGGUUUGAGAGGAUGAUCAGCCACACUGGGACUGAGACACGGCCCAGACUCCUACGGGAGGCAGCAGUGGGGAAUCUUAGACAAUGGGGGAAACCCUGAUCUAGCCAUGCCGCGUGAUCGAUGAAGGCCUUAGGGUUGUAAAGAUCUUUCAGUGGGGAAGAUAAUGACUGUACCCACAGAAGAAGCCCCGGCUAACUCCGUGCCAGCAGCCGCCGUAA